UGGGGUAUCGCCAAGCGGUAAGGCACACGAUUUUGAUUCGUGCAUUCGUUGGUUCAAAUCCAGCUACCCCAGCCA
rnacentral:tRNA from 1 species